rnacentral:rRNA from 1 species
UACGUAGGCAGCAAGCGUUGUUCGGAGUUACUGGGCGUAAAGGGUGCGUAGGCGGGUCUUUAAGUCAGGGGUGAAAUCCUGGAGCUCAACUCCAGAACUGCCUUUGAUACUGAAGAUCUUGAGUCCGGGAGAGGUGAGUGGAACUGCGAGUGUAGAGGUGAAAUUCGUAGAUAUUCGCAAGAACACCAAGUGGCGAAGGCGGGUCUCUGGGCCGAUAACUGACGCUGAGGAGCGAAAGCGUGGGAGCGAAGAGG